rnacentral:rRNA from 1 species
CGUAGGUGGCAAGCGUUGUCCGGAUUUAUUGGGUUUAAAGGGUGCGUAGGCGGUUUUCUAAGUCAGCAGUGAAAUACGGCAGCUCAACUGUCGAGGUGCUGUUGAUACUGGGGAACUUGAGUACUGAUGAGGUAGGCGGAAUGGACGGUGUAGCGGUGAAAUGCUUAGAGAUCGUCCAGAACACCGAUAGCGAAGGCAGCUUACUAAGGAGUAACUGACGCUGAGGCACGAAAGUGUGGGGGAUCAAACAGGAUUAGAUACCCUGGUAGUCCACACUGUAAACGAUGAUUACUCGAUGUGUGCGAUACACGGCACGCGUCUUAGCAAAAGCGAUAAGUAAUCCACCUGGGGAGUACGCCGGCAACGGUG